rnacentral:lncRNA from 1 species
AAAUUCCUCCAUGAUCUGCUUCAAUUACUGCCUCCAGGUUCCUGCCUUGAAUUCCAGUCCUGGCUUCCCUCAAAGAUGCACUUCUCCUAGGAUUCAUAGCCACUGUACCUCAAGAUCUCCAUGCCAAGAUCCAGGUCAGAAACUUGUAUCUCCCAGCCUCAAGAUCUGGAUCACAGAAGAGGGCAUCAGAUACUACAACCUGGCCAUCAGCCCCCCCCCCCAUGCCUGCUUUCUCUCCGUGGACCCCACUUUUCUGUCUCCUCCUCUGCACAGCAUCUCAAUGAAUUAGCCUGAGAGCUGUACCCAAUAAACCUGCCUUUAUAUACUUUA